rnacentral:tRNA from 1 species
GCCUGGGUGGCUCAGUCGGUUGAGCGUCUGACUUGGGCUCAGGCCAUGAUCUGGCAGUCGGUGGUUUCCAGCCCCACAUCGGGCU